rnacentral:rRNA from 1 species
UACGUAGGGUGCGAGCGUUAAUCGGAAUUACUGGGCGUAAAGUGUGCGCAGGCGGCUCCGCAAGUCGAGUGUGAAAGCCCCGAGCUUAACUUGGGAAUUGCGCUCGAAACUACGGAGCUGGAGUGUGGCAGAGGAAGGUGGAAUUCCACGUGUAGCGGUGAAAUGCGUAGAUAUGCGGAGGAACACCGAUGGCGAAGGCAACCUCCCGU